rnacentral:lncRNA from 1 species
UCUCGAUCUCCUGACCUCGUGAUCCAACCGCCUUGGCCUCCCAAAUGCUGGGAUUACAGGCGUGAGCCACCGCGCCCGGCCCAUAUGUUGAAAUCUUAACCCCCAAUGUGAUGAUAUUAGGAUGCGGAGCCCUUGGGAGGUCGUAAGCAUGGAGCCCACGUGAGUGGGAUUAGUGCCCUUAUGAAGAGAUCCCAGCCCUCUUUCUGCCAUGCGAACACACAGCAAGAAGAUGCCUGUCUAUGAACCAGGGGGCCCUUACCAGAAACAAACCUACUAGCAUCUUGAUCUCGGACUUUCCAGUUCCCAUAACCAUGAGAAAUAAAUGUUUUUAAUUCAAUGUAUGGUAUUUUAUUAUAGCAGCUCUACCUAAGACAGUACAUGUAUAGUGUCUAUUUGAACAUUACUGAUAAUGUUGAACAACUUUUCAUGUUUAUUAGUUAUUAGGUUUCUUCAAGUGUUCUUAUUCAUACAAAUUUUAAAAUAUGUACACAAGUUCUUUGUUAUAUAUUUUGCAAAUAUCUUCUGUGGCUUGUCUUUUCACUAUUUUAGUUCUGUCUUUUGAUAAACAGGAGCUUUUAAUUUUUAUGUCAAAUCUAUCAAGCUUUUUCUUUUUGAUUUAUGUUUUUUAUGUCUUAUUUGAGAAAUCCUUCUAUACCCCAAGAUCAUGAGGAUGUUUCCUGUGUUCUCUUCUGAAAGCUAUAUAGUCUUUGUCAUUUAGGUUUAUCUUUAUACGUGGUAUGAAGUGUAAAGUUCUACUUUUAAUUUUUUGCAUAUUUUAUUAGGAUAGGAUGGGCUUUUUCUGUAGUAAUAAUCCUUAAAUCUCAGGGGCUUAAUAUAUAAAAUUGUCUCAUGCAAAAAACCACUGGGUCUAGGGCAAUUGCUAUCUACUGCCGUCUAAUCUCCCUCUAGUGGCUUCCAUUGGUAGACCCUAACAGGAAGCCAGCUGAUAAGGGAAUCUGGGAAAUGUAGUUUACAGAGUGGCAGCUACAGUAGAACAGUAGAGACUACAAGGAUGAGCUUGCAGCUGAGAAUAGAAACGUGACUGGCACACUAGGUGGUUUGUUUGUAGGUUUUUUCUUUUCCUGUUUGAGACUUUUUUGGAUUCUUGAAUUUGUACAAUGGUAUCCUUAAUCAAUUGUGGAAAAUUAAAUGAUUUUUUCUUUCAGCAUUGUCUGUUUCUUCUGUAACUGAUUAAAUGUCUAUCAUUUUUGCUUCAUGUAUUUUGAAACUCUUGGUUAG